rnacentral:rRNA from 1 species
CAAUAGCGUAUAUUAAAGUUGUUGCGGUAAAAAAGCUCGUAGUUGGAUUUCUGUUGAGAGCGACCAGUCCAUACCAUGUAUGCGUAUCUGGCUUGCUCUCGGCAUCCUCUCGAUAGACGUUACUGCGCUUGAUUGCGUGGUGCGGAUCUCGGGACUUUUACUUUGAGGAAAUUAGAGUGUUCACGGCAGGCUUUCGCCAGAAUACAUUAGCAUGGAAUAAUACUAUAGGAUCUUGGUUCUAUUUUGUUGGUUUCUAGAAUUGAGAUAAUGAUUAAUAGGGACAAUUGGGGGCAUUCGUAUCAACACGUCAGAGGUGGAAUUCUUGGAUUGUGUUGCGACGAACUACUGCGAAAGCAUUUGCCAAGGAUGUUUUCAUUGA